rnacentral:lncRNA from 1 species
UUUGGUUUGUAAAAACUUACAAAAAAAUUAAGUUAAAAAAAAUACAUGAUCUAAAUAGGAAUUAUGAGAACCAGUGCCCCAGGUUGAUCAUUUUCCCUGUUAAUAUAUUAUUACUGAUAAAAUAUUUCAAACUACUCUAAUAUGGCUCUAAGAGAGAAAUUAGCAAAGACAGACAGGAGUGAAAUAUAAAUCAACUAUUCCAGAUCAGAUAUUCUCUCUUUAAAAAAUGCUUUUUAAGAGGAACAACUGGAUUGCAUCUUUGCAUUCCAGGUACAUGUGGCAACUUGCUUUUCAGGAGGGAAAAAGAAAAAAAGUAAACUUAAAACCCAGCCAACUGUGUCAGAGAUUCUGCUGAAGCAGAAAACUAUUAUUACCAUCCAAAGAAACAGCUUGGCAUAACUAAGCCGACCAAUACUCCUGAAAAACCCAGUUCAAUUUUCUUUGCUUAAAACAGAUUGACAACCAUUUUACUUGUUGAAUAACAGGAAAGUCUGAGACACAAAUGAGCAAGCUCUGCCAUGUCAAGAAAACACUGCUGUAAAGAAAGCCAUUAUUCUUGACUUCAGAAUGGCUCCCUUUUUUCCUCUUUUCAUUUUCCUAAUGAUUAGAAAUAUAUUAAUAUAAAGGUAAGAAGACAGCCUUCUCUCUACUACACUGGCACUGCUGAUUUCCUUCUAACACUGAGCUAUCAGCUGCUCAAGAAAAAAGCAACAUCCAAAUAAUGGAGAUUUCAAGACUAUUAAAAGUUUGAGCAGAGUACUGUGAGACUCUCAAAGCCACACACACACAAAAAAAAAGGGAUCUUAAGAGGAUGACAGUGGCAUUUGCCACUGAUCUUUAGCAAGCACAUGAACACAAUUAAUGCCCAUGUUUGCAUCCAAAAAAGAAGAAAGCGAUCGUAGCCAAGCUCUUGGACUCAUCACGUGGAGCACUUCUGAUAUCCUCAGGGUGGGAAGUUCCAAACUCACAAAAUCUUCUUUGAUUCCACAGAAGUUUUAAGUAGUUUUUUCAAAAGUACUUAUGUGACCUGCAAACCUAAGCCCUAAUGCACAAUCAAAUUUGUUUUCUGUGGAGAACAGCCAUCCUGACUGUAAUUAGACAUAAGAAGUAAGCAUGUAUAUCAGUUAUAUCUUAAAAUUAUUUUGAUCUAAAGGAGGGUUAAAUCAUGCCAAUCUGCACAUCUGUGCUUCCGUUCACAGUCAUACAACCUGAGUAAUUGCAUCAAUGUAAGCCCCUAGGAAAAAGCCUCCAAGCCAAUUUAGAGUAUGAUGAUAAAUAUUAAGAUGUUUUAACUUGGUCAAAUGAAAAAUCAUGGCAACAUUCUUAUCAGAUUUCCUUGUCAAACAGGAUUAAUGUCAAUGAAACAGUCGAUUAAAUGCAUUCAUAAAAUACCUUUGUAGCUAUUAAAUGUUAGAAAACCAUUGAAAAUAACAAUUCAUUUCCUUCUCUCACCUACUCCUAAAUGACCAUAAAGAAAAUUAAACGUCUGUGCAGUGGUAUCUGCCAGAAAAACAGUGAAAUAAGAAAAAUACCAAGACAUCUCCUAGACAAACAGCCUAACUCUUUUGUCAUGUUCACGUUUAUUCCUUUUUUUUCUUACUCUUAAUUUUUUGUCCUCCUUGGGCCUUGGUCUUCUUUCUCCUACUCAUUCAUCAGAAUCACAGCCACAGAGCUGUUUGCUUUAACAGGAGCAUUUCACUUCCAGGAUCUGCCCAAAAACUAAUCCCAGACCCACUAUCUCUCAGACCCAAAAUAAACUAUUCAGUACGAUUUUGUCCACUCCCUUUCACAUCUCCUUACUCUUACAGCCCUGUACUUCUUCCCACUACCUAGUUCUCUCAAGUAUUCACAUACUGAAAUUAUCUAUAGCUUUCUCCAUUUUUCUAAUUCCCACUCCUCCCCAUAACCCUGACAC